AAAAACAUUAAUGUCUUUUGACUGUUGACAUGUGGAUCCAAUCCUGACCCAUCCUUCGUGGCGGCCUUUCAUUUAUUACCCCUUUCAUUCUGAUGGGACGCGUCUUACCAAACUCUCACCCCUUUUCUUUCUAUAAGUACGAGACCCCGUAUUGUUUCCAAGGGCAUUCGCCUCGCUCGUCCUCUUCUCCUCUAGUAGUUCAUACCAUCGGACUAUUCACCAGGAUGUCUUCUUUGUCUUCCUCCUUUUCCUCCUUCUCCGUCAACCAGGUACGAGAUCUUCCUUUGCCCUCCAUUCCCCGGUCUGACAUUUUGAUCAAUCUGAC
rnacentral:lncRNA from 1 species